rnacentral:rRNA from 14 species
ACCCGGCGCCCGUCAUGGGGCGUCACUCCGGUCUGAAUUCAUAGGGCCGGUAGAGGGAACUGGGCGAAUUGAAACAUCUUAGUAGCCCGAGGAACGGAAAACAACAGUGACUCCCUGAGUAGCGGCGAGCGAAACGGGAUGAGCCUAAACCUGGCUGGUGGUAAAACCUGGUGGUGUUGCCAGCUGGGGGUUGUGGGACUUGACGGGAAGAGCACCAGAUCUUCCACAGAGUUACAAAAUCACAGUUUAGCGGAAGCGUCCUGGAAAGACGUGCCGUAGAGGGUAAUGGCCCCGU